rnacentral:rRNA from 1 species
AGGACGAACGCUGGCGGCGUGCUUAACACAUGCAAGUCGAGCGGUGAACCACUUCGGUGGGAAUCAGCGGCGAACGGGUGAGUAACACGUGGGCAACCUGCCCCUAGCUCUGGGAUAACCCCGGGAAACCGGGGCUAAUACCGGAUAUGACCUCGAGCGGCAUCUCUCGAGGUGGAAAGAUUUAUCGGCUAGGGAUGGGCCCGCGGCCUAUCAGCUUGUUGGUGGGUAAUGGCCUACCAAGGCGACGACGGGUAGCCGGCCUGAGAGGGCGACCGGGCCACGACGUGGACUGAGACACGGCCCAGACUCCUACGGGAGGCAGCAGUGGGGAUAUUGCGCGAAUGGGCGAAAGCCUGACGCAGCGACGCCGCGUGAGGGACGAAGGCCGUUCGGUCGUAAACCUCUUUCAGCAGGGACGAAGCGAAAGUGACUCGUACCUGACAGAAGAAGCGACCGCUAACUACGUCGACCAGCAGCCGAC